AUUGAACGCUGGCGGCAGGCCUAACACAUGCAAGUCGAGCGAGCGGCGGACGGGUGUGUAAUGUCUGGGAGAAAGCCCGAUGGAGGGGGAUAAAAACUCGAAACGGUAGCUAAAACCCCCUACCAUCUCAGUUGCCCAGACGGGAUUCGCGCGUAGGUGGGGGACAGGCUCACCUCGGCGACGACCCCUAGCUGGUCUGAGAGGAUGACCAGCCACACUGGAACGAAGACACGGUCCAGACUCCUACGGGAGGCAGCAGUGGGGAAUAUUGCACAAUGGGCGCAAGCCUGAUGCAGCCAUGCCGCGUGUAUGAAGAAGGCCUUCGGGUUGAAAAGCACUUUCAGAGGGGAGGCGUUACCCGCAGAAGAAGCACCGGCUAACUCCGUGCCAGCAGCCGCGGUAAUAC
rnacentral:rRNA from 1 species